rnacentral:lncRNA from 12 species
AUGGUGCAGCGCGUGGAACCACGAAGAGCAGCAGUCAAAUCCCACCUCCGCACGACUAGCUGUGCGCCUCUGGGCAAGUCCCGUACACUUCCGCCAUCAGUUUUCCUCGUCCUGACCCAGGGGGAUACCAGGAUACCCACCGCGAGACCGUCACAACAGGAAGCCUGGCGUCCGUGGGACACACCCGUGAAAGGCAGCUGUCACUCUGCCCGGUCCCCAGACCCUCCUGUGCCCACGUCCCCGGCUCUGUGCGGGCUCAGCGCCUACCUUCCCGGAGGCCAAAUCCGUCUCUGCGCCCGGCACUCCGUCAAGAUGGCGCCUCCCUGUUCCCCCACCAACCAGGCCACAGAGGGUAGCUCGCUGGGCUUGGGAACAAAAGUGCUUUGGCUGCCUAUCAAAUACUAACAGAGGCUAACUGUUUUCUCGGCACUUCUCUCUCCCUGCACACGCUCUCUCGCGUCUCUCCCUACACAGACCAGAAAUGACACCAAGUUCGAGGGUUGGGGGGGUCUCCCCCAGGAUAAAGUGGCAGGCAGCUGUUUUUCUGGUGCCCAAGGACCUCCCUGCCCACUACCCUCUCCCUUCUCUGCUCAUUUGUUUUCAAGCAGCGACCGUACUGCAAUGACAUCUUCUCUGUCCUGCUGGGAGGGGAAAGGGGCAUCCCCAGGAAAUCAGAGAUCAGGUGGGAAUCCUGAAAAUGCUGAUGCUGCCUACAGCAGCCAGGAGCUCACCCAGGGUCUCCCAGCGGUUUAGCAAAAGGGGAAAUAACCCUGCACCUUUGCCCCUGGACUCCAACCACAUCCCUCCACCAGAGCCGCCAUAUUCAUGUUGUGAGACCACAUUUCUCCAUUGUUCUCAGUUUACCCAGGCAAGAUCUUUUCCCCCUGAGGGUGGACUCUCAGGCCUCAUAGUGCAUCUGCGGGAAACACCUCUCAGGUGGUGCCAACAGAGACCCUACAAGUCACCGGAAUCCCGCUUUUGCCAAAUGAUGGUUGUGCCUGGCUAUCUGAGAGAGUAUUUUAAAUCCUUGAGAAAUAUGACAGCUAAAGGAAAACAAGGGAUUAAGUUUCCAGCUAGGCCCACGCAGAACUGGUGAAAAAUUAGUGUCUGAAACUGUUACAAGAGUCUGAGUUUCAGCAAUAAUUCCAGGAAACCGGAAGUCUCCUGCUAGCGCACAUCCUGUAAGGAAGACAGGACCAAACUCAACCUCUCUCUCCUGCUCCCCUUUAAACUGACUCCUGCUUUUAGAUUUGCCAAAGGGACAGUUGUCAGAAACAAGAGGCCGGCUGGGGGGUAACUCAGCCUGGACAGGCAAGUAGACAUCAGUGUCUAAUCAUAUUACAGAUGUGUCUGGAAACGAUUUCACUUCCUCAGCAGAGUGCUGGAAUUAGGGAUUUGGGUUUGUUCUCCUGAAGAGGGAGUGACAUUUCUCAUCUUAGUCACAGAGGAGAGAGGCCUGUACUCCUUAUUAAAAGAACUGGAGGCAAGUAGCAGGGUGUGGGCUCCCUUUAGCCCACUCUGACAGUCCCAGUUCUAGAGCUUGGACAAGUCUCUAGCCUAAGGCCUCCAACUCCAAAUUCUGACAGUGGCUGCAAAGGCAGGGUAUAGAAGGGUCGGGCCUGUGUUAUCCUCCCUCUUUCCUUUGGGACUGCAGUAGCCAGCCUCUAAUGAUGGCCUUCAAUGAGCUUCAUCUUCUUGCAACUAGCUAUUGACUAAUAGAAUGUGACAGAAGCUAUGCUUGUAUUCCUGAGGUUGCAUCAUAAGAAGUCUUGCAGUUCCACCAGGGUCUCCCAGGUCAUGCAUCUGGAAGUAGCUAGGCUCCAUGUAAGAAGUCUGACUACCCCAAGACUGUAUGCUGGGUGAAAGUCUACACAGCAGGGUCCUGUGAAAAGAGAGCUGCCCAGCCAGUCCCUAUGCUCUGAGCCACCCAGCUGGGGCACAGACAGGCCAUGCGGGGUGACCUGCCCAACUGAGCCUCAGCCCUCAAGCUCCACCCAGCAUCUAACUGCAGCUACAAGAGAGACCCCCGUAGAAAAUAGCCCAACUGUGAGCCCAGUCAACUAAUGAAAGCAAAUAAAUGCUAUAGUAAGCCAGGAAUAUCA